rnacentral:lncRNA from 1 species
AUGUGUGGACCACCUGCUUUGGCAACAUCAGGGAAAGAAGCUUCUCUCCAAGGUGGUGUGGAAACACCCGCUGUAAGUGAUGCAACACCAGAAGAAGAAACUGCUCUACAAAACAGCACCAUAUCAGUCACCGACACUCUGCCUGCACCAUCUAGUCAAUCCGAUGCUGACAGUGCCAAGAGUGUGGAGUUUAAAGUCGAGUCUGCACCACCCUCUGAGCCGGUUUUUAAGAGCGGAACUGAAGAGGCGGUUGAGCGCGAAGAUGAUGGCACUGUUGUUGAACAAAGUUUUGAUCCAACACCUAAGACAGCAGGAGACUGUGACAAAGAGUUGAACACUGAAGAUGCCCUUGACCAAGUAGCUGCUUCAGAUGCAGAAGGUGUUUUGGAUAACACAGAGCACGCAGCUAUUAGACUGACUGAUGCUUUAGAUGUGGAGACGGCCAAGGCUGAAGCUGUUCCUAAACCUGUGGAAGAUCCAAGACAACCCCACUCUGAAGCAACUGCAGAAAACAUGGAACAACAUGCUGAUGCACCAGCUGACACCUGUCACAAUGAGGAUAAGGCCUCCGCAGAUGCUGAUGUGAAAAAUCCCCCUGCAGAAAUCUCUGCUGCAGAAGGCACAGUGAGAGAGAGUAGCGAGAGUAAGAGCACCGCUGGAGUCCCUGGAGAAUCUGUAAUCAAAAGAGAACCGCCGAAUACAACUAAUUUAGAGCAUGCAGGAGUAAACAUGUGUGGACUACCUGCUUUGGCAACAUCAGGGAAAGAAGCUUCUCUCCAAGGCGGUGUGGAAACACCCGCUGUAAGUGAUGCAACACCAGAAGAAGAAACUGCUCUGCAAAACAGCACCAUAUCAGUCACCGACACUCUGCCUGCACCAUCUAGUCAAUCCGAUGCUGACAGUGCCAAGAGUGUGGAGUUUAAAGUCGAGUCUGCACCACCCUCUGAGCCGGUUUUUAAGAGCGGACCUGAAGAGGCGGUUGAGCGCGAAGAUGAUGGCACUGUUGUUGAACAAAGUUUUGAUCCAACACCUAAGACAGCAGCAGACUGUGACAAAGAGUUGAACACUGAAGAUGCCCUUGACCAAGUAGCUGCUUCAGAUGCAGAAGGUGUUUUGGAUAACACAGAGCACGCAGCUAUUAGACUGACUGAUGCUUUAGCUGUGGAGACGGCCAAGGCUGAAGCUGUUCCUAAACCUGUGGAAGAUCCAAGACAACCCCACUCUGAAGCAACUGCAGAAAACAUGGAACCACAUGCUGAUGCACCAGCUGACACCUGUCACAAUGAGGAUAAGGCCUCCGCAGAGGCUGAUGUGAAAAAUCCCCCUGCAGAAAUCUCUGCUGCGGAAGGCACAGUGAGAGAGAGUAGCGAGAGUAAGAGCACCGCUGGAGUCCCUGGAGAAUCUGUAAUCAAAAGAGAACCGCCGAAUACAACUAAUUUAGAGCAUGCAGGAGUAAACAUGUGUGGACUACCUGCUUUGGCAACAUCAGGAAAAGAAGCUUCUCUCCAAGGCGGUGUGGAAACACCCGCUGUAAGUGAUGCAACACCAGAAGAAGAAACUGCUCUACAAAACAGCACCAUAUCAGUCACCGACACUCUGCCUGCACCAUCUAGUCAAUCCGAUGCUGACACUGCCAAGAGUGUGGAGUUUAAAGUCGAGUCUGCACCACCCUCUGAGCCGGUUUUUAAGAGCGGACCUGAAGAGGCGGUUGAGCGCGAAGAUGAUGGCACUGUUGUUGAACAAAGUUUUGAUCCAACACCUAAGACAGCAGCAGACUGUGACAAAGAGUUGAACAUUGAAGAUGCCCUUGACCAAGUAGCUGCUUCAGAUGCAGAAGGUGUUUUGGAUAACACAGAGCACGCAGCUAUUAGACUGACUGAUGCGUUAGAUGUGGAGACGGCCAAGGCUGAAGCUGUUCCUAAACCUGUGGAAGAUCCAAGACAACCCCACUCUGAGGAGUUCAAACCGAACCAAAAGUGUGAUGAUAGUCAUACGUGA